UCCACCCGCAGCGACGGGGAUCCUGCCCCAUCCUCUCCGCAGACAAAUACCACUGGUUUUAAUCCUAUUUAACAAACUAAUGAGAUGUGAAAGAAAGUUGUGGGCUUGGGGACAUGGACAUCAACCCAAGGGCAGUGGAGACUUACAUCCUAAUCAGAUGCUAUGGAAGAUAGGGAUUGUAGGCAAGCCUUGCUCCAGGACCCUCAGCCUCUUCUAAAGUGAAUGGGCUAGCUCUUAUCUGUCUGUGCAACUCUAGUGUUAACUUUGGAUAGAACCCAUCCCUGCUGUUAUUUAUUAAGUGCCUCCUGUAUGCAAACUCAUGCUCAUCUGCCCCCACCCCCUUCCUCCAUCCUCUCCUCCCUCCAUCCCAGCAGGGACUCACCACACUUCCCAAGGGAGGACAGUACUGGGGCUUUGCCCACAGAGGAGGAAGUGGGGGUUGGGUCGGCUGCUGACGCAGCUGUGACGUCAGAGCCGGCCACAGGCGGCGGCCAGCCCGCGCUGCUGGUACCCCGUGUGCCUGCUGGCCGUGGGCCCCCCGGCUCCCACCCCUUAACCCCUUCCCGGCUUCCCUUUCCCAGACGGCCAUCCCCCAGCUGGCCUGGCCCACAAGAUUCCCAGAUUUCACAACCCGGGCUGGCGCUGACUCACGUACAGCUGCUGGUGUGUUCCUGGAGGCCCACA
rnacentral:lncRNA from 1 species